rfam:Brachypodium distachyon strain Bd21 chromosome 1, whole genome shotgun sequence.
AUACUAGUUCCUCCGUCCAACAAAGUAUGUCUCAACUUUGACUAAAUUUGAAUGCAUCUAUACACUAAGUCAUGUCCAAAUACAUCCAAAUUUUGAAAAACUUGAGACAUCUUUUGUUGGACGGAGGAAAUAGUAC